rnacentral:rRNA from 1 species
AGCGAACGCUGGCGGCAUGCUUAACACAUGCAAGUCGCACGGGCAGGGCAACCUGUCAGUGGCGGACGGGUGAGUAACGCGUAGGUAUCUAUCCUUGGGUGGGGGGACAACGGUUGGAAACGACUGCUAAUACCGCAUGAUAACUGAGGUUUAAAGGCGCAAGUCGCCUGAGGAGGAGCCUGCGUACGAUUAGCUAGUUGGUGGGGUAAAGGCCUACCAAGGCUGUGAUCGUUAGCUGGUCUGAGAGGAUGAUCAGCCACAUUGGGACUGAGACACGGCCCAAACUCCUACGGGAGGCAGCAGUGGGGAAUAUUGGACAAUGGGCGAAAGCCUGAUCCAGCAAUGCCCGUGUGUGAAGAAGGUCUUCGGAUUGUAAAG